UACAGAGGGCUCAAGCGUUGUUCGGAUUCAUUGGGCGUAAAGGGUGCGUAGGUGGCGCCGUAAGUCGGGUGUGAAAUUUCGGAGCUUAACUCCGAAACUGCAUUCGAUACUGCGGUGCUUGAGGACUGGAGAGGAGACUGGAAUUCAUGGUGUAGCAGUGAAAUGCGUAGAGAUCAUGAGGAAGACCAGUGGCGAAGGCGGGUCUCUGGACAGUUCCUGACACUGAGGCACGAAGGCCAGGGGAGCAAACGGG
rnacentral:rRNA from 1 species